ACGGGAGGCAGCAGUGAGGAAUAUUGGUCAAUGGGCGAGAGCCUGAACCAGCCAAGUAGCGUGCAGGAUGACGGCCCUAUGGGUUUUAAACUGCUUUUGAUUGGGAAUAACGUGCCCCACUCGUGGGGCAGUGCAUGUACCUUUCGAAUAAGCAUCGGCUAAUUCCGUGCCAGCAGCCGCGGUAAUACGGAAGAUGCGAGCGUUAUCCGGAUUUAUUGGGUUUAAAGGGAGCGUAGGCGGGCUGUUGAGUCAGCGGUUAAAUGUCAGUGCCCAACAUUGGCAUGCCGUUGAUACUGGCGGCCUUGAAUGCACACAAGGAAGGUGGAAUUCGUCGUGUAGCGGUGAAAUGCUUAGAUAUGACGAAGAACUCCGAUUGCGUAGGCAGCAGACCAGGCCGUAAAUGACGCUCAUGCACGAAAGUGCGGGGAUCGAACAGGAUUAGAUACCCUGGUA
rnacentral:rRNA from 1 species